CUAAUCAUUCCGGUUAUUAUUAUUAAUUUUGCUUUAAAAUGCUAUAUUAGGGAUUUGGGUUUUUCACAAAUUCAAAGACCUGCAAAAUUAGUAGAACUCCUUUUAUGAAAUACCCCAACUCCGCUAUUAGUAAGUUCAUCUGCUUCUCAAUCCUUAUACCCCCACUACAAGAAAUAGCGUAAUUAUCGACGCUAAAAAUUGACGGCCAUAUUUUUGUCGAUAUUUUUCAACGGUUUGCCGUCGAUAAAAUAAAAAAAUUUAAAUUAAAAAUGAAAUAUUAAAAUCGACGACCAGGUCGUCUAUUAUUUUAGUGGCCUUAUAAUAAUUUAAUAUUAUCGUCACAUAAUCGACAGAAAUGUGGGUGGAAAAAUUUUUUCUUUAAAAUCGAUGGAAAGACCGUCUAUUUUAAUAUUUGUAAUAUCGACCACUUUGUCGUCGAUAAACUUAAACGAUGAAGAUCCCUCUUUAAAAUCUAAUGAAUGGUGUAGAUUUAUUAUAUAAAAUAGACGGUUAGAAUGUUGAUUUUUAUUUUAACUAAAAUCGACCAAGUUGUCGUCGAUUUUUAUCAACAAAAGAUUGGUACCCGCGUUUAUUUCUCGUGUCCCCUGUUUCCCCUAAUUCACCACUUACAUUUUACCUCCGCCAUUUCACCAUUUCCCCCAAUUCGCGCCUUCUCCAUUUUCCCUUCGCCAUUUCACCAACCUUCCCUCUCCAGUGCCGCCGCGCCGUUUUCACUCCGUUGCUCUCACGUUCGUCGUCGCUUCGUCACACUCGUUUAGUUACUCUCUCUCUUUUUCUGUCUGCAGUUUCAUUCUUCAACUCUAACUUUGGUCUCUUUGAUCUUUUCUUUCUCGCGCACAACAAAUACAAAACCUCCAUUGAUGAUUGACCUAAAACUCAUCAAUUUCAGAAUUCAAAGCCAUCUUUCAAGCUUCACUGAUGAACCACAACAGAGUUAAACUUUCUCGUUGCUGCAUUAUAAGGAGGCUCUUCUGCUGAUUUGAUAUAAUGACAUUGUCAAGUUUGGGUAUGCUGCAAUGGGACGAUCCAAGUUCAUAGGAGAGGAAGACUCAAGCCAAAGCAAUUCUCCAACUUCACAAAAUGCUAGUCAUGUAAAAAGACCAACUGGCCUGGGAGGGGUCAUGAUUGGAAUAGCAGAGCAGAUGUACUUAAUACUCCUUCAAUUCCGAGUGUUUUCUUUCUUGAAUGAACCUAUAGGACCACUUAGCGGCGGUUUAAAACCGCCGCUAAACGUGCGGGAAGUUGGACAUAUCGAGCUGAAUUGCGACGGUUUGGAAACCGCCAGUAAUUAUGAAGCAAAUCGUGACAUGCUCAUUCUGUGGCGAUUUUCUAUUGGUGUGCUGCGAAAUUUUGAUUUAGCGGUGGUUAUACCAGCGGUUGCUGGAAACCGCCACCAAACCCAAUCCCGGCGCCAAUAUCCAUGGCGGUCUGGUUAAUCGCCGGCAUUUGAUUUUGCGGCGGUUUAAAACCGCCGCUAAUAAAAAAAAAAAACAACCGCCAAUUCCCGCCUCCCUUGUAGUGGUCUUUCUUUAUCAAUUGGAAGUUAAAUCUUGUUGUUUAUAGGAUUGUUAGAUUUAAUAAUUGAUUAGUUAUUAUUUUGUAAUGUGUUUGCGUAGAGAAUUAAUUGAUCGAACAUGUCUUUAUGAUAAUUGAAAUCUUAAUCUCUUCUAGCAAAAAACUAUCUUAAUUAAUUUUGGAUUCUUUUCCUAGCAUCUUCUUUUAGUUAUACACAAUUAAAUAUACUUCCUGUCAUCCUAAUGUAGUAGAGUUGUAUUCAGUAUUCACUGUCAAUAAAUAAGAAAGCAGGCUUCAGUUGUG